UACGAGGGGGGCGAGCGUUGUCCGGAAUUACUGGGCGUAAAGAGCGCGUAGGCGGCGCUGUACGACCCGUGUGAAAGCCCCCGGCUCAACUGGGGAGGGUCAGCGGGUAACGGCCAGUGCUCUGAGUGCAGGAGAGGGAAGUGGAACUCCGGGAGUAGCGGUGAAAUGCGUAGAGACCCGGAGGAACACCAGUGGCGAAGGCGGCUUCCUGGUCUGCGACUGACGCUGUGGCGCGAAAGCUAGGGGAGCAAACGGG
rnacentral:rRNA from 1 species